GUGUGGGGGAAAAGGAAUGCUUAUACAUGGUGAGAUUGUAAAUUAGUACACUUACUAGGAAAAUCAGUAUGGAAGUUAGUCAAAAAAGUAAAAAUAGAACUACCAUAUGAUCCAGCUAUACCACUCCUUGGUGUAUACCUGAAGAAAUUAAAGUCAGCAUAUGAUAGAAAUAACCUGCACUCCUGUGUUUAUUCCCAUACAGUUCACAUAGCUUUAUGGAAUCAGCCAAGGUGCCUACAAUGGAUGAAUGGAUGAAGAAAAUGUGGCAUAUAUACACAAUAGAGUGUUUAGACAUAAAGAACAAAAUUAUGUCAUUGCCAGCAAAAAUGGGUGGAACUGGAGAUCAUCGUGUUAAGUGAAUACAAUAAUCACAGCCACUAUAUUCUUGCUUUUGCAAUAGUCUCAGACUCAAGAUCUCCCUUUCUUAAUGAAGAUUUGGACUUUGAUAUUUUGUAUUUGUGUUAAUGGGG
rnacentral:lncRNA from 1 species